UAGGCGCACUACCAUUGCUGAAAAUUCAAAAAGUGCUGGGCUAGUGGGUUUUUUUCUGGGACGUUUUAUGGGGAAAUCGCUUCCUUCCCCACAUAGAAUUCAAGAUUUUGCGAGAAUAAUUAGCUCAAACAGAAUCCAGGGCCCGACUCAAGUCAAACCCGCAUCCAGAAUUAGGUCAGUUCCAUCUCCCGUGACCGCAAAGUUUAGGGCGGUUGUCGACGGCCAAUCAUCAGAGCGGCGGCUGAAGCUGAAGCAGAACAUGGAAGAAGCAAGCUCUAACUCCAAUUCCAAUACUUCCUCGUCGAACCAGCGGCGGCUACCCCUUGCCGAUGUGGUGGCUGACUGUGUCAAGCGGUGGUUCCAAGAUACUCUCAAGGAGGCUAAAGCUGGUGAUUCCAGCAUGCAGGUCCUUGUUGGUCAGAUGUAUUUUAGUGGCUAUGGUAUAUCCAGAGAUGCACAGAAGGGAAGAGCUUGGAUUAGCCGAGCUUCAAAGAGUCGGUCAUCGGCAUGGAAAAUGAGUGAUAAACGCCCAGGCUAUAAUGCCAGUGAUUCUGAUUCUGAUGAUACUGUGGGGGAGACAAAGCAAAAUUGAAGCUCUUUUCAUGGGUAAAACAAGCUAUGGCAUCGAUAUGAACUCUGCAUGUAGUAGUGUAUGACAAUGCCACUCUAUCUAGUUUCUUUGAUAUCUUCUUUAGCAGCAAGUGUAAUCCCACAAGGGAGUCUGGGAAGUGGGAAGGGUGGAGUGUACGUAGGCCUUACCCCUACUUCGUGGAGGCCUUAUCUACGUUUCUGCACCUUCAAAAUUCCUCCAUUUCUUAUUUCUUGUGGAAUCAACGGAAAAAUGCAAGAUGGAGCUACAUUCCACGUUUCUGGGAUUCAACUUUCUUGUCCAACUUGUGAGAGCUUCACCAUUGCCAUAGGUUGUACCCAUGUGUAUUCUUGUGCUAUGGCUAUGCCAGCUGCCAGUCCCUUGCAGUUUGGUAACAGACAUUCAACUGCACCUACUGUUCUACUCUCCACGAUUUUUUUUUCAUUGAAGUACGCCAAGUCCAUAGAGUUAUUUUGUCUGACUGGACUGUUAGUAAAUCACAUUAUUUAUCAUUAGUUGAUUUUCUUUGUCAUGAUGGUUUGAUCUUGUAAUUCUGACCAACUGGGCAGAAAGCUGAAAACGUGAUUAUUCUUUGUUUGGUUUGUCAA